GACGAACGCUGGCGGCGUGCUUAACACAUGCAAGUCGAACGGAAAGGCCCUGCUUUUGUGGGGUGCUCGAGUGGCGAACGGGUGAGUAACACGUGAGUAACCUGCCCUUGACUUUGGGAUAACUUCAGGAAACUGGGGCUAAUACCGGAUAGGAGCUCCUGCUGCAUGGUGGGGGUUGGAAAGUUUCGGCGGUUGGAGAUGGACUCGCGGCUUAUCAGCUUGUUGGUGGGGUAGUGGCUUACCAAGGCUUUGACGGGUAGCCGGCCUGAGAGGGUGACCGGCCACAUUGGGACUGAGAUACGGCCCAGACUCCUACGGGAGGCAGCAGUGGGGAAUAUUGCACAAUGGGCGGAAGCCUGAUGCAGCAACGCCGCGUGCGGGAUGACGGCCCUCGGGUUGUAAACCGCUUUCGCCUGUGACGAAGCGUGAGUGACGGUAAUGGGUAAAGAAGCACCGGCUAACUACGUG
rnacentral:rRNA from 1 species